rnacentral:rRNA from 1 species
AAGGUCUCGUUGGUGACAGCGGAGGGUCAUUACCGAGUUUACAACUCCCAAACCCAAUGUGAACGUUACCAAACUGUUGCCUCGGCGGGAUCUCUGCCCCGGGUGCGUCGCAGCCCCGGACCAAGGCGCCCGCCGGAGGACCAACCAAAACUCUUAUUGUAUACCCCCUCGCGGGUUUUUUACUAUCUGAGCCAUCUCGGCGCCCCUCGUGGGCGUUUCGAAAAUGAAUCAAAACUUUCAACAACGGAUCUCUUGGUUCUGGCAUCGAUGAAGAACGCAGCGAAAUGCGAUAAGUAAUGUGAAUUGCAGAAUUCAGUGAAUCAUCGAAUCUUUGAACGCACAUUGCGCCCGCCAGUAUUCUGGCGGGCAUGCCUGUCCGAGCGUCAUUUCAACCCUCGAACCCCUCCGGGGGGUCGGCGUUGGGGAUCGGCCCUUUACGGGGCCGGCCCCGAAAUACAGUGGCGGUCUCGCCGCAGCCUCUCCUGCGCAGUAGUUUGCACACUCGCAUCGGGAGCGCGGCGCGUCCACAGCCGUUAAACACCCCAAACUUCUGAAAUGUUGACCUCGGAUCAGGUAGGAAUACCCGCUGAACUUAAGCAUAUCAAUAAGCGGAGGA